rnacentral:lncRNA from 1 species
GCUUCCUGGUGGGAUGUCCCCUUGCGAUGUUCAGCGGUGGCUUCUAAGGUGCAGCUUCUCUGUUAUGUCCUGACUGUGAACAGCACCCACCCUGUAUCCAGUAAUUAAUCUCCACCGUCCUCACGCGGCUUGCUGCCUUCGCUUUACUCUGCUGUUUUUUCACCAGGCUCUCUUCAGGUCAAACUGUGUGAGGGUGGAAGACAUGGCUGGACCGAAGCCAGCAUCAAGCCUCGCCUGGGAAAGCGGGCUUCUUAGUGUUUAUCUUAAACCACGCCCUGCCUCCAGCAGGGAGGGGAGAGGAAGCGGGUGUGUGUGAACCAAUGCUACAGAGAAGGGGCCAACAGAGACAUGGGUCUCCAGAGGAGAGUAAAGAACACAUUGCUUAGCUUGGAUUUGAUCAACUGCUGGUACAGCACAUUGCUAAUCUUCAUUGUGUACCUCAAAGCGUUCCGUCAUGGCCUCUGACUGCUCUUCUGAGCCUGCUCUGAACUGCCAAGGAGGGUUUUGCUGUGUAGCUCAACUGGGUCUUGGACUUGAGAUCUUCUUGUCUCCAUUCCCAAGGCAUAGAAUUCCAGGCACGUCCACCAAGUUGAAUGAUUAUGCCUGCGGAAGUGUGGCUUCUCCAUGGUGUGAGUCUAUCCUGAGGAUGGAUUCUCAUUAAGCAUGCCUUUGGUGAUGAAAAGCAAUGUGGAAAAUGUAAGCUGAAUAAACCCUUUCCUCCCC